rnacentral:ncRNA from 1 species
AAUAGGUUUGCGCGGGACAAUGCUUAGGUUGCUCUUAGAGCGGCAGCCCCAAGUGGGUGGGUUCCUAAGCCCCGGAGCCUUUAUUUGU